GGUGAACGCUGGCGGCGUGCUUAAGACAUGCAAGUCGAACGGCAGUCUUCGGACUGUAGUGGCGCACGGGUGAGUAACGCGUAACUGACCUACUCCAAAGUCGCGGAUAACGAUUCGAAAGAAUCGCUAAUACGUGAUGUGCUGUCAGAUUGUGUUCUGCCAGUAAAGAUUGAUUGCUUUGGGAUGGGGUUGCGUUCCAUCAGCUAGUUAGUGGGGUAAAGGCCCACCAAGGCGACGACGGAUAGCCGGCCUGAGAGGGUGGCCGGCCACAGGGGCACUGGGACACGGGUCCCACUCCUACGGGAGGCAGCAGUUAGGAAUCUUCCACAAUGGGCGAAAGCCUGAUGGAGCGACGCCGCGUGAGGGAUGAAGGUCUUCGGAUCGUAAACCUCUGAAUCAGGGACGAAAGACACUUCGGUGGGAUGACGGUACCUGAGUAAUAGCACCGGCUAACUCCGUGCCAGCCGCCGCCGUAACAC
rnacentral:rRNA from 1 species